rnacentral:rRNA from 1 species
GACGAACGCUGGCGGCGUGCCUAAUACAUGCAAGUUGAGCGAUGAAGAUUGGUGCUUGCACCAAUUUGAAGAGCAGCGAACGGGUGAGUAACGCGUGGGGAAUCUGCCUUUGAGCGGGGGACAACAUUUGGAAACGAAUGCUAAUACCGCAUAACAACUUUAAACAUAAGUUUUAAGUUUGAAAGAUGCAAUUGCAUCACUCAAAGAUGAUCCCGCGUUGUAUUAGCUAGUUGGUGAGGUAGGCUCACCAAGGCGAUGAUACAUAGCCGACCUGAGAGGGUGAUCGGCCACAUUGGGACUGAGACACGGCCCAAACUCCUACGGGAGGCAGCAGUAGGGAAUCUUCGGCAAUGGACGAAAGUCUGACCGAGCAACGCCGCGUGAGUGAAGAAGGUUUUCGGAUCGUAAAACUCUGUUGGUAGAGAAGAACGUUGGUGAGAGUGGAAAGCCCAUCAAGUGACGGUAACUACCCAGAAAGGGACGGCUAACUACGUG